CCCAGCACCCAGUCUGAGCCUCACAGUCAGAGCUGUGCCCCUAGCAAACAGCCUCCUUGUAGCGACACAGCCCAGGGCCCUGAGCAGAAAGCCUGCAGACAAUCUCCAGGCAGAGAGACUCCAAGCAGAGCCCCCCAGAAGGAGCAGCGUCUUUCCCCCGACUUUCCAAGAACAGGCCCCAGAAAACCAAGAGAACUGCACCUGUGGCCUAUGGCUAGGGGUUGAAUUGGAGCUGCAGCUGCCAACCUGUGCCACAGCCAUAGCGACAUAGGAUCCAAGUUGCAUCUGUGACCUACACCACAUCUCAGAGCAACGCAGGAGUGAGGCUAGGGAUUGAACCUAUGUCCUCAUGAAUACCAGUUGGGUUUGUUACUGCUGAGCCUCGACAGGAACUCCACCAGUGCUCUUGUCCUUAAUUAUUCUGAUGCUAGUUAGACUUCCUCUCUUCACUUUUGGUUUAUAGAUGAACUAGUCCAUGGUUAUAUAAUGAUUUUUCAAGCCAGUUGGCCUCAUGGAAUGAAUUCAGUGGAUUGGACCAGGAUAAUUUUCAUGGUAGACUGCAGUAGAAUAUACCAAAGUACCUUGCACAUUGUAAAAGUGAUAAGUUCUGUUAAAGUUAUAUGUCUGUGUACAUGUGUAUGAGUGUACUGGGCCCCAAUGUAAGAUUUAUUUCUUGGUAUGGGUUAUUGUCAACAAAAUUUUAAAAGUUAUUGUUCUAGAACAGUUGAGAAUCAGGAGAGUUCCUCAUUUGUUUGAGGGCAGGAAAUGGUGCCCUGAAUAAGGGACCUUUGGAAAAAGCCAGAUUCAAACAUGCAACCAGGGCCACAGAGAAGCCCAGCAACCGGAUUUUGGGGAGAGCUAGUGAACCUGAUUCAGAUGUAGGAAGAGGAAGCUCCAGUUUCAUGGGCAGACUUUGCCCUUACUGACUUGCCCAAGAGGCCAGAGUACAAAAGAAAAUAGGGAGAUACUUCUAAAAAUCAAGACUGGCCAUUGACUAGGGCUUCUCUAGGGUAGUGUUCCUAGGAAACCCAACAUAAUUGGGCAAAGGACACUUCUAGCCACAUAAAGAAGGGUCACAGCUACUUCAGCUGAUCAGUGAUCAGGCAGCAUAGACCUUGCAGGGUGGGCAUCCCAGCAGGACGCCAGAGAUGGGAACCGUCUUUUUCUCCAUUAUCCUAUUUCGUAGAGGUAGAGUAAGUUAGAACCUGAGGGCUUUUAGAGCACGUCUAGUACAGACUCCUUAAGACAAGUCAGGAACCUGAGGCCCUAAAAGAAGGGCUUGCCUAAGGUCUCUUAACAGGUAACUUUUCUUCUUCCUUCCCCUUCCCUUUCUAUUAUUUAUGCUCUGUGUAGAGCCUAGUGGCUAAGUACAUGAGCUUUAGACCCUACCACUUACCAGCUCUAUAAUCUUGAGCAAGUUACUUUAACCUCUUCAAGCCUCCUUUUCUUUAUUUG
rnacentral:lncRNA from 1 species